UGGGGAAUAUUGCACAAUGGGGGGAAACCCGUAGAUGCAGCGACGCCGCGUGAGGGAAGAAGGUUUUCGGUAUUGUAAACCUCUGUCUUCGGUGACGAAAACGACGGUAGCCGAGGAGGAAGCCACGGCUAACUACGUGCCAGCAGCCGCGGUAAUACGUAGGUGGCAAGCGUUGUCCGGAAUUACUGGGUGUAAAGGGAGCGUAGGCGGGAAGGCAAGUCGAAUGUCUAAACUAUGGGCUCAACUCAUAGUCGCGUUCGAAACUGCUUUUCUUGAGUGAAGUAGAGGUAAGCGGAAUUCCUAGUGUAGCGGUGAAAUGCGUAAAUAUUAGGAGGAACACCAGUGGCGAAGGCGGCUUACUGGGGCUUUAACUGACGCUGAGGCUCGAAAGCGUGGGUAGCAAACAGGAUUAGAUACCCUGGUAGU
rnacentral:rRNA from 1 species